UUCUAGACUGUCAGAAGGUUGAUAUACCCUCUAGUGGUUAUAUAGAGAUUCUAGACUGUCAGAAGGUUGAUAUACCCUCUAGUGGUUAUAUAGAGAUUCUAGACUGUCAGAAGGUUGAUAUACCCUCUAGUGGUUAUAUAGAGAUUCUAGACUGUCAGAAGGUUGAUAUACCCUCUAGUGGUUAUAUAGAGAUUCUAGACUGUCAGAAGGUUGAUAUACCCUCUAGUGGUUAUAUAGAGAUUCUAGACUGUCAGAAGGUUGAUAUACCCUCUAGUGGUUAUAUAGAGAUUCUAGACUGUCAGAAGGUUGAUAUACCCUCUAGUGGUUAUAUAGAGAUUCUAGACUGUCAGAAGGUUGAUAUACCCUCUAGUGGUUAUAUAGAGAUUCUAGACUGUCAGAAGGUUGAUAUACCCUCUAGUGGUUAUAUAGAGAUUCUAGACUGUCAGAAGGUUGAUAUACCCUCUAGUGGUUAUAUAGAGAUUCUAGACUGUCAGAAGGUUGAUAUACCCUCUAGUGGUUAUAUAGAGAUUCUAGACUGUCAGAAGGUUGAUAUACCCUCUAGUGGUUAUAUAGAGAUUCUAGACUGUCAGAAGGUUGAUAUACCCUCUAGUGGUUAUAUAGAGAUUCUAGACUGUCAGAAGGUUGAUAUACAUUGUAGUGGUUAUAUAGAGAUUCUAGACUGUCAGAAGGUUGAUAUACCCUCUAGUGGUUAUAUAGAGAUUCUAGACUGUAAGUCAUUAGUUUCAAUGUAAAAUGUUUC